rnacentral:lncRNA from 1 species
GCAUCGAGAAACCAAUUAGUCUCCAACCAUAGACAUAUACCAAGGCCACUUACCACUCACUCCUCAUGGCGAUGGGCUCCAAGUCCAAGAAGACUCAGGUUCUCCUGCCCGUUGCGCUGCUGCUGAUCAUGGCACUCCUCGCCGCUGUCGCAUCGGCAGGCAGGGUCAGCUUCCCGCUGCUGGAUGUGAAAGCUAGCCAAUUAUGCUACGCAGUUGGAGCCUGUUCAGAUAGGUUGUGCAAGAGGUCCUACCACUGCGGCAAAAAUUCUGCAGGGUCAUGCCAGAUCUCUGGCCGGCACGUCCAGUGCUGCUGUAAUCCGCGACCACCAAUCGCCUCCGCCAAUGAUCACCCGCUUGUCCAUUGACCGAUUGAUUCUUCUGUAAAAGAAAAUACCGAGAUAAAUAAUAACCCGUGCGGUGGCGUGGUAAGACUUUGAUAUAUGGUUUUUAGUGGCUUGAUAUCUCCGGCCUUCUUUGUUGAUCUGAGGCAUUCCAGGUCUGUAUAGACGCUUAUGUUUCGGAGUUGUCGUUUUUUGUUUCGC